GUAAAUGAUCGCCGAUUGAUUCCAAAAGUUCAUGUCUUGCAAAAGGCCAUUUGGGAAGCUUCAAGGCUCAGCCCUGAACUUCAAGAUAUUAAAUUAAAGACUCCCUACUUCUUUAUAUCCAAGAGCAACAUAUCCUUUACUAAAAAAAAGAAAACCAAGUUGGCAAAAUCACAGCUUUAAUUUCUCUAAAUAAAGAAAAAAUAAAUCCAUGCUUACAGCCCCCUUAAAUAUUAUAAGUAGAAGCAUUUACCAGCCCUCAAGCAAGCCAUAAAAAGUAAUGAAAUUGGUACAACAAAAGCCAGUCUCAUGCCUAGAAAUCUUCAUAUGCGAAAAUUGCGUGGCUAAGGGCAUAUACAACCUAAACCACACAAAAGCUCCGAAUAUUUGCCUCCCCAUAAGAAUAGGAUUAUCAUAUCGCAGCUCUCAUAGCUCCUCUAGCAGCCUCGCGCUUCAUCUCAGCAGCUUUACCGCUGCCACGGAAAUACAUGUAUACUUGCUGCACACAUGAAGCCCAGGAGGUUAAAAGAAGAAAAAUGCCCACUGGAAAAAUACGAGUUAUGAGUACAUAUAAGAUCAAAUUUCAUUGCCCAAAAAAAUAUUGUGCAAUAAAUGGACCUGAAGAACCCAGAUACUAAGCACCAAUUCAAUGCAGAAUAAUCCAAAUCCAACGAAGUAGAAUAUCUGUAAGCAAAGCAAACACAAUUAGUGUAGCCCAGCCAGACCACAAUACAAAUAUUGCUAUGUUGAUUUCAAUAUAUACCCGAGUUGAGACUGUAUGUCCUAGUAAUAAAGCAAUAUAAGGAUCAGGAAGUAUCAUGUCAUUAACUGAAAAGGUAUAUUCUUGAGCUAAGAUGUUCUUACCCCAACUAAAGCAUGGUCACCCAAAACAUCUAUUGCAGACAAGAUGCCAGUGAAAGAUUUUCCUUUGAAAAAUAUAGGAGGAGCAACCGCUGCUACAAUGCAGAAGCCAAUGUGAAUCAAAUAAAAAAGGAAGAACCAUCCAAACUUCAUAGCACUUUCAGUCCUAAAUGCACGAUAAAGUGGGCGAUACCACAAAACAUAUGCCCCAGGAACUCCUGAUAUGAAGUAAAUAAUAGCAAGAAACCAGAUUCUCACCCCUUCGCCCUUAAUCCAUGCCGUUGUAACAGCUAUAAUGUUCCAGAAAAGACAGAGAACCAAUCCUAGAAAUGUUGUAAAUGCAACAUAUUGAAUUCUUUGCAGAUGAAUCGGUAUUUCAUUUGCAAUAUCGUGAUGGAUAAUGGGGAAAAAUGGUGGCCAAUUUUUCUCCUCCAGGACAAUUCCAGCUCGUGCAGCUGCAUCUUCACGCCGUUUUACAUCCUGCUCUCGCCUUCUCAAUUCAGCCUCCUUAGCUUGGAGUUCCCUUUCUUUCUUCUUCAAAUCUGUAGUGGAAUCAAUUGGAAUAUCAACUGUUGCACCAUGAUCAUAACCAAAAUCAGCAGGCUCAGGAGGAAGUGGUGAAAGCCUAGAGUUUGAAGCAGGAGGAGCACUUGAUGUGUAAAAUGCACCUCCACUGAACUUCUGCUGACCCGAUGAUUUCCCCCUUACAGCUGGAUCAGAAAAGGGAUUAACUUCUUCUUCAUCAAAAGGGUUAGCAUCGUAGCGACCAGCCAUGCGAAAAACCACUUAUAACCCAGAAACCAACCCGAAGAGAAACCCAAGAACUAAAAACGACGGGAAAAGAAGAGAAAGACAACAGGCUUGAGCAGAAAGCAAUUUUCAAGGAAAAAAUUUAGGCAAUUAACCAAAACA
rnacentral:misc_RNA from 1 species